GACAGAGGGUGCAAGCGUUGUUCGGAAUUACUGGGCGUAAAGCGCGUGUAGGCUGCUCAGAAAGUCGGAUGUGAAAGCCCUGGGCUUAACCUAGGAAGUGCAUUCGAAACUUCUGAGCUUGAGUUCUGGAGAGGAAGGCGGAAUUCUCGGUGUAGAGGUGAAAUUCGUAGAUAUCGAGAGGAACACCGGUGGCGAAGGCGGCGCCCUGGGUAGAUACUGACGCUGAGGUGCGAAAGCGUGGGGAGCAAACAGG
rnacentral:rRNA from 1 species